GGCUGGAGACACCUAUUUAAGGGGAUUCCAUGUUAAAAGUGUUCUUGUCCAUUUACCUGCUGGCCAUCCUCAAAGCUCAAAGCACGGUAUUUUUCAGGGGCCUCUGUCCCCUGCCCUGGGGCCCUGCGCACUGUGCCGUAUUAACCUCCCCUUCUCUACCACCUGGAGGACCUUCAGGUCCCGCAGCUGGAGCAGAAGAACUGUCCUCUGCUCCACAAUGGAAAGGCAGGAUGUGUACUUUUUACUCUUGUGAAGUCCAAUUAUGCAUCUCAAGGGGAAAGUCUUCAUUUACUGUAUAAAGAUCUGUAAGACCCAGGCUGCCAAUCAGUUGAUUUAGAGGAACCAAACCGAACCCGCCCUCUAGCCCUCAAAGCCGGUACACCGAAGAGGAAAACAGACAUGACUCUGAGAUGUUUACUGAAGAACCACCAGCAAGUGGGGAGGCACCUAAGUAUCGAAGUGAAGAGCGGCACAGGAAACACAGCAUUCAGCCGGCCUACACAUGGGACAUCCCCGUGUCACUACUGACCUCAGGAUAUGGUCCAAAGAAAGACAAAAGCACGGGAAGCAAAACCAGCCCAUUGAGAACGCCGAGGAUGGUGAGGAUCGCCAGCACAGCAAAGAAAUACCUGGGAGAUCAAGAGGAAACGGGAACACGCGCUGUGACAGGGUGGAUCGCGCCACCCUCCGUGUGCCCGACACAGCAGCAUGGCAACGCCAGAAAUGAACAAAACCCACCCCACUGAAAAGGCUGUUAUCCAACCGCAGUUCACAUUCAACACAAGAUUCAGGCCUCAUUCCUCGCUUUGGAUCUUUUUUAAACAAAAUGAAAAACACCAGUGACAGCGGCUCCUAGAGAAGGAGUGAAGGAAGAAGGAGCAGGGAGAGAGUGAGAGAACUGGAUUUCGGGGAUCUGGAUUCAAUUAAUCCACAGGAUAUGUAACAACUGUAUGUCCUCAACACAUCCCUGGAAUCAAACAGCGCAGCCCGUGGCCUCCGUGUAUGCGGCACGCCUUUCUCCCUCCCGGGAGGAGGAAAUGGUAUCUGGGGGUCUGGCCCAAUCCCAUUU
rnacentral:lncRNA from 1 species